GACGAACGCUGGCGGCGUGCUUAACACAUGCAAGUCGAACGGAAAGGCCCUGCUUUUGUGGGGUGCUCGAGUGGCGAACGGGUGAGUAACACGUGAGUAACCUGCCCUUGACUUUGGGAUAACUUCAGGAAACUGGGGCUAAUACCGGAUAGGAGCUCCUGCUGCAUGGUGGGGGUUGGAAAGUUUCGGCGGUUGGGGAUGGACUCGCGGCUUAUCAGCUUGUUGGUGGGGUAGCGGCUUACCAAGGCUUUGACGGGUAGCCGGCCUGAGAGGGUGACCGGCCACAUUGGGACUGAGAUACGGCCCAGACUCCCACGGGAGGCAGCAGUGGGGAAUAUUGCACAAUGGGCGGAAGCCUGAUGCAGCAACGCCGCGUGCGGGAUGACGGCCUUCGGGUUGUAAACCGCUUUCGCCUGUGACGAAGCGUGAGUGACGGUAAUGGGUAAAGAAGCACCGGCUAACUACGUG
rnacentral:rRNA from 1 species